CCAAUAGCGUUUAUUAAAGUUGUUGCAGUUAAAAAGCUCGUAGUUGAAUUUCGGAAUCAAUAUGUUGGUCGUGCCUUGGUACGUACUAGUUUAUUGGUUUCUUCCUUCUGACGAACCAUGAUGUCAUUAAUUUGGUGUCUUGGGGAAUCAGGACUGUUACUUUGAAAAAAUUAGAGUGUUUAAAGCAGGCUCACGCUUGAAUACAUUAGCAUGGAAUAAUGAAAUAGGACGUUUGAUUCUAUUUUGUUGGUUUCUAGGAUCGACGUAAUGAUUAGUAGGGAUAGUUGGGGGCAUUAGUAUUCAAUUGUCAGAGGUGAAAUUCUUGGAUUUAUUGAAGACUAACUACUGCCAAAGCAUUUGCCAAGGAUGUUUUCAUUAAUCAAGAACGAAAGUUAGGGGAUCGAAGACGAUCAGAUACCGUCGUAGUCUUAACCAUAAACUAUGCCGACUAGGGAUCGGAUGAUGUUAAUUUUUUAAUGACUCAUUCGGCGCCUUACG
rnacentral:rRNA from 1 species